UCCCCGCCGCGGGAAGCUGUCACCUGGCCGCCAGGGCGCAUGUGCACUCAGGCCCCAGGAAGCCGUCGGCUCACGUGAUCCUCCCGCCACUCUCACAUGACCUCUCUCCCAGAGGCGGGGACCUUCGGCCAAGAUGGCGGCCUACCUGCAGUGGCGGCGUUUCGUUUUCUUCGACAAGGAGCUGGUGAAGGAGCCGCUGGGCAACGAUGGGGCUGCUCCCGCGGCUGCACCUGCCUCAGGGCCCGCUGCUUCUAAGUUCCUUUGCCUUCCUCCUGGCAUCACUGUCUGCGACUCAGGCCGAGGGAGCCUCGUCUUUGGAGAUAUCCUUCCUCUGGAGCUGUCUGUUCCCUCCCCGGAUCCCUGAAGAGAUCCAGCUGGGAUGGAAUCUGUCGGUCAGAGGGGUUCGUGUUACGUGACACUUUCCUUUAGGUGGGCGCCCAGUGGCUCCUUCUGUGGCCUGAGGGAAGAAAGGAGGAAGUCCGUUCUGUAACUUGUUGCCAACUGAGCAAUCGUGGGCAAGGCAACCUCUUCGGGCUUCCAUUUACUUCUCUGUGAAAGAGGUGUAAGAUACCAGUUUGGCAAGGUUAUUUUUAAGAUCUAAACAGCGCAUGCAGGUUGGUUUUACAAGAUGAAUGUGUAAGGUGGCAUGAUCUCUCCUGCCCAAAUUGUGGGCAAGGAGAUACAUGAGACUAGAAGUUUGCUGCUUUGUUCUUCAUAUUGUUGCUACUAAACUCUGGUCUCCGUUUUCACUGUUUUUAAGAUGGAGAACUUUUAGGAGAUAAUAUGUGGAGAAAUUCUUGAAAAUUUGAGAGAGAUUAAAUAAUAUAUGUUAGUAGUUGUCUGGGAUCUGGUCUAAAUAGAAGUCUCUCUCUUUGGAAAGGAGGUUCCUUGACUAUUCUACACAUAUGGAAGGCCAAAUCUGGUUCUUGCCCCGCUCUCUACAGCUUACAGGCUUCCAAGCCUACAAACUACGGGUGACACACCUAUAUCAGCUGAAGCAGCACAAUAUUUUGGCAUCUGUUGGUGAAGAUGAAGAAGGCAUCAACCCCCUGGUGAGUCCCAGAAAGGAAGUGGGAAAGGCCCAGGCCCUGGGAAUGGCUGUUGGAGGGUGAGUAGUAUUCACAUAUCUGAGGUCUGUUCACAGGUAAAAAUCUGGAACCUGGAAAAGAGAGAUGGUGGCAAUCCACUCUGCACUCGCAUCUUCCCUGCCAUCCCAGGAACAGAGCCAACUGUUGUGUCUUGUUUGACUGUCCAUGAAAAUCUCAACUUUAUGGCCAUUGGUAAGCGGAAGAAGGCAAAGCUAACACUCCGUGGUUUUUAUAGAUUUUCUUCAGAGUUGCUUUUGCAGCUUGUCUUCAUUGUUUUAAUGAGACCACUUUAUACUGAACUAAGGCCUUUGAGAUAGUAAAGUUUGGAGCGGGAAAGCAUUUAGUUUCGUUCUUUGAAAAAGAGCCUGUGUGCACCGAUUUUUAUGUUAACCAUUGGAAGAGUUAGAUAUAAGGAGAAAGCUUGUUACUUCUUUUUUUAAGUUUAUUUAUUUUGAGAGUGAGAACGAGUCAGGUAGAGGGGCAGAGAGAGAGAGGGAAAGAGAGAGAAUCUCAAGCAGGUUCCAUGCUGUCAGCACAGAGCCCGACACAGGGCUCAAUCCCACAAACCAUGAGGUUAUGACUUGAGCCGAAAUCAAGAGUCAAAUGCUUAACUGACUGAGCCACCCAAGCACCCUGAAAGCUUGUCACUUCUAACAAGUGCCUUAAAUGGUCUUUUUCCCCUUCUGUGCUCCCUGAUCUUUUCAGCCUCAAUGAAGUGCUGUUUCCUGGUCCCCUACAGGUUUCACAGAUGGCAGUGUUACAUUGAACAAAGGAGACAUCACACGGGACCGGCAUAGCAAGACCCAGAUUCUGCACAAGGGCAACUAUCCUGUUACUGGACUGGCGUUUCGCCAAGCGGGAAAGACCACUCAUUUGUUUGUUGUGACAACUGAGAAUGUUCAGGUAUGAUGGGGGCCUGCACUGUUAGGGGCAGGCAAGAAAGGGGCCUACGAUAAGGAAAUGAUGAGAGGCAGGGUUCUUAAACUCUUCAUCAUGUAGCCUUGAGUCAUUUGCCCAGCUUAAUGUUUUAUUUUUUCACUUAAGAGGCAAGGAAGAGUCAGAGUUAGGAAAAGAACAAUGGGCUUGUAGUGAAAGACCUGCUUUUUUUCCCCUAACUUGUUAAGUAACAUCGGACAAGUUAUUUUACUUUGUUGGUGUCUGAUGCUCUUAAUUUCUAACAGUCUACUCCCAAGUAUGGUCUUGGUAAAAGUUCAAAAUUAUUGCAUUUCUUGUAGUGGCAGUUUUCCUGUAGUUAGUGCCCAUACACACAGAGGGAGAAAAUGUGGGUGAUGGUAAUGGACAAAGCAAGGAGCCAGGGAAAGUGUUAGGGUGCUAAGAGUCAAAAAGAAAGAGAGCCAGUAUGGAGAUGGGAAUACCUUUGGGAAGGCUUAGAUGCCCCCUCCUGAAAGGGAGCCUGUUAACGCCUUUCUUCUUGCAGUCCUAUAUAGUUUCUGGAAAGGACUACCCUCGUGUGGAGUUGGACACCCAUGGUUGUGGCCUGCGCUGCUCAGCUCUAAGCGACCCUUCUCAGGACCUGCAGUUCAUAGUGGCUGGAGACGAAUGUGUCUACUUGUACCAGCCUGAUGAACGUGGGCCCUGCUUUGCCUUCGAGGGCCAUAAACUCAUUGCUCACUGGUUUAGAGGCUACCUUGUCAUUGUCUCCCGUGACCGGAAGGUUUCUCCCAAGUAAGGACUCCAGGGGGAAGGGAAAGGGAGAAGGCUCCACUUGUUCGCCAGAAUUAGCAUGAUUUUAAAAUCCUAAUACCCCAAUCCUGUCAGUCUGCUACUUUGGUUUUCUGUACAUUGUCCUCACACUUAGAUUCAGUUGUAACAUUUUUACUGAAAAAAUGUAUUUUUGCUACAGGUAUUUGCUAAGUGCCCUAGAACGCCCCAGGGAAUUUUUGACCUGUUUUUGUUUUUUUUUACUCUUUAGUCAAAACACACUGGGUGGCGGAACAAGGAAAUGAACAGUGGAGAAGCUAUAAAGGGCUGGGGAAUGCAGGACACAGUAUUUUUAUUCUGAGCCACCUGAAAAGGGGUGGCAGGCUCUUCCUCAUGAUGGAAAUGAUCCGUGUCAGUGUUUAUCUUCAGUCAGCACUAAGCGCAGUAUCUCACAUAUACCAGGGGCUAAUUAUAUGAAUGGGUGUUUGGAUGUUCUUAAUUUUUUAAGCCACCCCUUAUGUUAAUGGUAGGAUCCUGAAAGGUACGAUCAGGUCUAUGUGUUCUCUUCCUACAACUGCCCAUGCAAUGCUGCAUUUAUGGGAUAUGCUGCUAGAGGGGCCAGAGGGUGAUUUGUUCUGGGCAGAGUAGGCAGCACCAAAGUUGUCAUGGAAAGAGGAGCUGGUGCAAAUAGCCGGUGCUUUUUCUUUCCCACACAGGUCAGAGUUUACCAGUAGGGACUCCCAGAGCUCCGACAAGCAGAUCCUCAACAUCUACGACCUGUGCAACAAGUUCAUAGCCUAUAGUGCCGUCUUUGAGGACGUAGUGGACGUUCUUGCUGAGUGGGGCUCCCUGUACGUGCUGACGCGGGAUGGGCGGGUCCACGCGCUGCAGGAGAAGGACACACAGACCAAACUGGAGGCAAGGCCACCAGAUUUCCAGAGCUGGCCACGGGCACCCAGACGCAGGUGUAGGAACAGGCUCCUCUUGGAGGCCAAGUCACCUUGGCCAGGGUGUUUCCUUCCCUUUGGGGCACAGCCUUACCUAGCUCCUUUAGGGCCGAAUUACAAGGUAAAUGGCCUGGGAUGAGGUUUUAAGAGUAAAGUAAUGGCUGAGAGCCUGAGUCCACUCUCAGGGUCCAUUCUGUCCGCAGAGAGCCUUGGAAAGUAAGGCCAUGUUGGACUUCGGGGUAUCUGAGAGGUCUUGCCCUGUCUAGGAUCUAGGCAGAUCAGAAAUCCAGGACCGUCUGGCUUGUGUGUUGUAGCUGCUUUCUGGUAGGGUGUCUCCUGAGGACUGCUUCUAGUAAUUUUCUAAUCUCUCUCCCCUUGCAGAUGCUGUUUAAGAAGAACCUAUUUGAAAUGGCCAUUAACCUGGCCAAGAGCCAGCACCUAGAUAGUGAUGGGUUGGCCCAGAUCUUCAUGCAGUAUGGGGACCAUCUCUACAGCAAGGGCAACCACGAUGGGGCUGUUCAACAGUAUAUCCGGUUAGUCUUGGGUGCUUUAGGAUAUAGCUCUGAAUGCAGCCAGAUAGACUAACACCUAGGCUUGGGUUAGGAGAGUGGACUCCACCAAAAGGAGCCAUUCUUUUUCCCUGCAGAAACUGUGAUGGCCUGGGUGAGAAGUUGGUACAGUUCACCGUAAAGGGAACAUUUAGGGUCAAAUAUUACAUGACCAGGGUGCAGUGGAGCUGAUGAGUAUCUCUUGUUUUAAACCUUAUUUUGUUUUUACCUGUGUAUCUAUAUUUUUUAAGUAGGCUUCACACCCAAUGUGAGGCUUGAACUCACAACCCAGAGAUCAAGAGUUACAUGCUCUACUGACAGAGCCAGCCAGGUACCCGUUCUUGUUUAGGCUGGCCUUUGUUACUAUUCAUUUUUGGGGCACCUGGCUGGCACAGUUGGUAGAGCACACGACUCUUGAUUUCAGCAUCAUGAGUUCAAGUCCCACAUUGGGCACAAAGCUUAGUUUAAAAAAAAAAAAUUCAUUUUGAUCUGAUUUGUUUGUUUGUUUCUUUUGAGAGACACAGCACAAGUGGGGGAGGGGCAGAGAGAUGAGGACAGAGGAUCUGAAGCGGGCUCUGCACUGGCAGCAGAGAGCCCGAUGGGGGGCUCAAACUCAUGAACCAUGAGAUCAUGACCUGAGCCAAAGGCAGACACUUAACCGACUGAGCUACCCAGGCGCCCCUUGAUUUGAUUCUUUAAAGGGAAAGGGUAUUCAUCUCUUGGCUUCUACAGUUUCUUCCCUUGAAGAAACCCUAAUUCUUGAAAUUUUCUGCCCUACUAAGAGGUGGUGUGAACCUGUCUGGCCUCUCUACCUUUCUAGAAUUCCUAUCUUCAGCCAUAUUUAAGAACCAGUGCUGUGUUAGCCUUGCAUCUCAUGUGGUCUGCAGUCUAGUAGCAUUGAUAUCAUCCAGGUCUUGUUAGAAAUACAGAUUCACAGGCCUCCCCCCAGACGUGCUGAGGAUCUGCAAGUGAUGCCUAGGCACAUGAAAGAGAAGUACGCUGAUCCAGAUGCUGUUUGAUGCACGUGUCUCUCUAGAACCAUUGGAAAGUUGGAGCCAUCCUAUGUGAUCCGCAAGUUUCUGGAUGCCCAGCGCAUCCACAACCUGACCGCCUACCUACAGACCCUGCACCGGCAGUCCCUGGCCAAUGCUGACCACACUACCCUGCUGCUCAACUGCUAUACCAAGCUCAAGGACAGUUCGAAGCUAGAGGAGUUCAUCAAGGUGCAGGGUGGUGGUGGUGGUGGUGGUAGAUUCCCCGAGGGCCCCACUGAGCGGGAGGUGGCUUUACCAGGGUUUGCCCCUUUUUCAGCAGAUGCAGGGAGAAGAAAGGGCUCACCUUAUUUGGGGACCAGGACCCUCUGGUCUAUAAACUGGGAAGAGGAAUAGCCUUUCCUGCUAGUUCUCUCCCGUCUCCCUCUUGUUUUUUGAUGCUUGAACUUUUGAGGGUAUGUAAGCUCAGGGAAUUAACAGUGGUGGGCCCCUGGGUCCCCAGAGGUGUCCCUGUAAUAGUAGGGGAAGAGGAAGACUUUAGCUCUUAAAACCUUACUGAGAAGUAGGAGAACCUAGUGUUUUAAAACCAUGGACUUUCUUUAAUUUUUUUUUUUUGUCUCCAACCCUCCCGGCCUCAACUUUAUUGUUAUCUUAAGAAUCUGUCAGGGGGCACCUGGCUGGCUCAGUUGGUAGAACAUGCAAAUCUAGAUCUCCAGGUCGUGAGUUCAAGCCCCACAUUGGGCCUAGAGUUUGUGUUAAAAAAAAAAAAAAAAAAAAGAAUCUGGUCUCAGAUGCAGGUUUCCUCUCCCUUCCCCAACCACAACCUUUCUGUGAAUGAUUUUGUCUGACGUCUCCCUGGCAGACCAAGAGUGAGAGCGAAGUCCACUUUGAUGUGGAGACAGCCAUCAAGGUCCUCCGGCAGGCUGGCUACUACUCCCAUGCCCUCUACUUGGCUGAGAACCAUGCACAUCAUGAGUGGUACUUAAAGAUUCAGCUAGAGGACAUUAAAGUAAGUGAGACUCUUGACCCAGACAGAGACCUGUUCUUUUUCCAGGACAUCCCCGGAAUGAUGAAAGUACUUCCUGGUGGGAAGGCAGGAGCAUGCGCUUACUCUGCCCUUACCUCUCCACAGAAUUAUCAGGAAGCCCUUCGGUACAUCGGCAAGCUGCCUUUUGAGCAGGCAGAGAGCAACAUGAAACGCUAUGGCAAGAUCCUCAUGCACCACAUACCAGAGCAGACGACCCAGUUGCUGAAGGGACUGUGUACCGACUAUCAGCCUAGCCUCGAAGGCCGAGGUGACAGGGAGGCUCCAGGCUGCAGGGUGAGACGUCAAGGAGAAUGGCUUUUGGACAACAGGGAUCACUUCCGGGGCCUCAUGGAUACCACACCCACUCACUCGGCCUCCUCUCUCCUCCCUUGCCAUCCUAGGCCAACUCAGAGGAGUUCAUCCCCAUCUUUGCCAACAACCCUCGAGAGUUGAAAGCUUUCCUAGAACACAUGAGUGAAGUACAGCCUGACUCCCCGCAGGGCAUCUAUGACACACUCCUCGAGCUGCGGCUACAGAACUGGGCCCAUGAGAAAGAUCCACAGGUGAGGCCUGGCGAAAGCUGCAGCAGAUGCUGGAGAAAAGACAGCUCUUCCAUCUUUUGUGGUUGCCUUUUGCUGCAUUCUUUAGACCAGUGACCCCUCACCCUUGGGGGCUAACUGGUUCCUCCGUGAAGAGGCGAUCGAAGAGGCAGUUGACUUGCCUUGUCACAAGAGAGCUUUGUGAUUUUUUUCCCCCUUAUGCCCAGCAACUCUACCCUCCUUCCCUAGGUCAAAGAGAAGCUUCAUGCAGAGGCCAUCUCCCUGCUGAAGAGCGGCCGCUUCUGCGACGUCUUUGACAAGGCCCUGGUCCUCUGCCAGAUGCACGACUUCCAGGAUGGGGUCCUUUACCUCUAUGAGCAGGGGAAGCUGUAAGAUUUGGGGCAGCUUCAGGGAAGGGGGAGGAUCCGGUUUUCCAGGGACAGCCACUGAGGUGCGCCUUGCCCCGGCCCCAGGUUCCAGCAGAUCAUGCACUACCACAUGCAGCAUGAGCAGUACCGGCAGGUGAUUGCUGUGUGCGAGCGCCACGGGGAGCAGGAGCCGUCCCUGUGGGAGCAGGCACUCAGCUACUUUGCCCGCAAGGAGGAGGACUGCAAGGAGUAUGUGGCGGCCGUGCUCAAGCACAUCGAGAGCAAGAACCUCAUGCCACCGCUUCUAGGUACUUCAGAGGGCGGUAGGGAGGGGUGCAGGCUGCCCACAGCUCUGGGGCAGGGGCGCUUCCAUUCUAUCGAGAGGGUGCUGCUCGGUUCACUGUCUUGUUUCCUUCCGGGCCCAAUCUCAGUGGUGCAGACUCUGGCCCACAACUCCACAGCCACCCUGUCUGUCAUCCGGGACUACCUGGUCCAAAAACUACAGAAACAGAGCCAGCAGAUUGCACAGGACGAGCUCCGGGUGCGACGGUACCGAGAGGAGACCACCCGCAUCCGCCAGGAGAUCCAGGAGCUCAAGGCGAGGUACUUGGCGACUAGAUAUGUGGAGGGGGGAUAAUCUUGUUCUUCACUGGGUGUCAUUAAAUACUUUUCAUAGAGGAUUGUAUGAAAAUAUGUUCAAACUUUGCAUUUUUGAAGAUCUGUUUUAAUGGAAGAAUUCCAAAGAAUGGUUUAUUCCAUAGAUCGUUAUUUAUUAGGUUUUUGGAGGAUGUUAACUUGCAGCAGGUGUUUUUCUUUUUAUGAGUCUGUAUUUUUUUCUAAAGACACAUUUUUUUUUUUUUUUUUUUUUUUAAGAGAGGGAAAGGGAGACAGGGCGAGAGCAGGGGAGGGCUGUGAGAUCAUGACCUGAGCUAAAAUCAGGAGUCAGAUGGCAAGCACUGAUCUUUUUUUUUUUUUUAAUUUUUUUUUUUUCAACGUUUAUUUAUUUUUGGGACAGAGAGAGACAGAGCAUGAACGGGGGAGGGGCAGAGAGAGAGGGAGACACAGAAUCGGAAGCAGGCUCCAGGCUCUGAGCCAUCAGCCCAGAGCCUGACGCGGGGCUCGAACUCACGGACUGCGAGAUCGUGACCUGGCUGAAGUCAGACGCUUAACCGACUGCGCCACCCAGGCGCCCCNUUUUUUUUUUUUUUUUAAUUUUUUUUUUUUCAACGUUUAUUUAUUUUUGGGACAGAGAGAGACAGAGCAUGAACGGGGGAGGGGCAGAGAGAGAGGGAGACACAGAAUCGGAAGCAGGCUCCAGGCUCUGAGCCAUCAGCCCAGAGCCUGACGCGGGGCUCGAACUCACGGACUGCGAGAUCGUGACCUGGCUGAAGUCAGACGCUUAACCGACUGCGCCACCCAGGCGCCCCAGCAAGCACUGAUCUUAACACAGACAGAAAAAAGCCCUGCCAUGUGGAGCUUACAACAUAGAGGUAGGCAGGCGCUGAAUACAUUCAACAAAAUAUUACAGUAUGUCAGAUGGUGAUAAGGUCUAAGGAGAAAACUAGUUUAAGAAGGGGAGUGGGGUGCUGUGUGUGUGUGUGUGUGUGUGUGUGUGCACGCUCGUUUAUAAGGUGGCCAGGAAAGUCCUCACUGGAAGGAUCAUGUCUAAGUAAAGAUCUGAAAGGUACAAGUUCCCCAGCUGUGGAACGAAUGUCACGGGGAUGAAAGGUACAGCACAGGGAACGUAGUCAGUGUGGUAAUGGUGCUGUGUGGUGACAGAUGGUAGGUACACUUGUGGUGAGCGUAUAGCGCAACACACAGACUUGUCAGUCACCAUGUUGUACACCCAAAAAUAAUGUAACGUAUGUUAAUUAUACUUCAAUUAAAAACAACAACAAAAAAACGGCGCCUGGGUAGCUCACUCGGAUUGUGUCCGACUUCAGCUCAGGUCAUGAUCUCAAGGUUCACGGGUUUGAGUCCCGUGUCAGGCUCGCUGCUGUCAGCUCGGAGCCUGCUUCGGAUCCUCUGUCCCCUUCUCUCCCCGCCCCUCCCCCACUUGUGUGUGUGUGCUCCCUCUGUCUCAAAAAUAAACAAACGUGAAAAAUUUUUAAAAACCGUGAAAGACAAUUUAGUGGUGGUUGUGAAAACUGAACCGGUUAGCCGGACUUGCUGGAAGCACGCUGAGACUCUGCAGGCCCGGGCGGCAUCCUCAUUUCACUCCCUUUUGGUGGUUAAGAGCAAGACCUUGUAGUCCCUCGACAGGGACCCCUCAUCGACUCCAGCCACCUUCUCUCUGCACCCGGCUCUUGGCUCUGCCCCCACUCUUUGCCACUCCUUUCUGGUCUCCCUUGCCUGCAGUCCGAAGAUUUUCCAGAAGACCAAGUGCAGCAUCUGUAACAGUGCCUUGGAGCUGCCCUCCGUCCACUUUCUCUGCGGCCACUCCUUCCACCAGCACUGCUUUGAGAGUUACUCGGAAAGUGAUGCCGACUGCCCCACCUGCCUCCCUGAAAACCGGAAGGUCAUGGAUAUGAUCCGGGCCCAGGAACAGAAACGCGAUCUCCAUGAUCAGUUCCAGCACCAGGUGGGCAUGAGUGGGUAGAUGACUGCCCCACUCACGGAGAGUCACCGGAGCAUUCGCUUCUUUUCUUUCCUCCUCCUCAGGACAGGACACCUGCAGUUCUGAUUCUUCUCUCCUCUUUCCCUGCAGCUCAAGUGCUCCAACGAUAGCUUCUCUGUGAUUGCUGACUACUUCGGCCGAGGGGUUUUCAACAAAUUGACUCUGCUGACCGACCCUCCCACGGCCAGGCUGACUGCAAGCCUGGAGGCUGGGCUGCAGCGGGACUUGCUCAUGCACUCCAGGAGGGGCACUUAAACAGCUCAGGGGAAGGGGUGUGAUAGUGGAGGCACAGUAGUAGGGACAUGGGGGACAGAGGCAGGGCUGUUGCACAGGAGUCAGGCAGACAUGCCCAGGACUCCACCCUGAUCUGAUGCCAUAGCCCUCAGGACUAAAGAGGACUUUUUCUCCCUUCUUUGGCCAGCCCGCCAUUCCUCCUGUUGACUUUUUGAGCAGUGUGGAUCAUUCCAGACCAGCGGGGGAGGGUACCUCAGCAACCUCUGAGUGUGGACAAUAGCUGCUUUGUUCUCUAUCCAAGGGCACCAGGCUGUGCUUGGGUCCUUGCUCCCAGAGUCUAUAAAUAAAAGAAUAUAAUGGUUUGGGGGUUGAA
rnacentral:lncRNA from 1 species